rnacentral:lncRNA from 1 species
CAAAUAUGUGCUGCCAUGUCUGAAGCGACAUAGGUUCUGGGGAUCCAAACUGAGCCCCCCAUGCUUACCCAAUGCAGUUGCCUGGUGCAUAUUGAAGACAGCGGUUGAAGUCAGGAUGUCCACCUCAAUCUCUUUCCACCUCAUUUUUUGAGACAAGGUCUCUCACUGAGCCUGUAGCUUGCUGUCUCAACUGUCCAGUGAACCCCCAGAAUCUGCCUAUCUCUAUCCACCCUGCCAGUCCCAGCACUGCAGUUUCACGUGUAUAAUACCACUCCCAGCUAUUACACUGAUGGUGGGGAUCUGUGCUCACAGAGCAAGCAGCCUGUUUCUAAGAUGGAGGUCUCAAGUGAGUAAUUUUUUUUUAAAUCAGUUGCAUCUGUAAUGGAUUGCUGAUAUCAAUUAAUAAAUUGACCAACUAAUAUACUGAUACAGGAGUGCCUACUGUGCACUGUGCCACUCUCUGGGCAGGUGGUCCUAUGCUGUGUGAGGAAUCUUACUAAGAUGAGGCUGAGAGCCAGUAAAUAGCUCUUCCACAGUUUCUGCUUCAAGUGCCUACUUGGGUUCUCGCCCUGACUUUCCUCAUCGAUGGCCUACGACCUGGAGGUGUAAGCCAAAUCAACCCUUUCCUCCCCUAAGUUGCUUUUUACUAGGACAAUUGUUUUGUGCACUGUGUAAAGCUUGUCUUUGUAUUAUUCAGAUGUUGACUUCCAGCUGAGAGCUGAAUACUGCCUGGCCUUUGGCAUUGUCAUUUUUAAUUGCUCAGCACCUAUGUCAUACUUUGUAAACAUUCUGCUCCAUCACUUUCAGAUUGGUUUAAUAAAGAGCUAAUGGUCUAUAGCAAGGCAGGAGGGGAAAGGCGGGACAUCCAGGCAGAGACGGUGGGAACUUUGGGAACAAAUCAGGUGUGUAUGUGUGGGGAGGAUUCACCAACUGGAUGCAGAGAUGGAUGGAACAGAUAAGAGAGAGAGUAAUGAGCUACAUGGCAAGGAGUGGAAUAAAACAGCUAUGUUGAUUUAAGUGAGAUGAGCUAGCUGAGAGGUAGCUGUCCUGGCUGGUUUUGUGUAUCCACUUGACACGGGCUGGAGUUAUCACAGAGAAAGGAGCUUCAGGUGAGGAAAUGCCUCCAUGAGAUCCAACUGAAAGGCAUUUUCUCUGUUGGUGAUCAAGGGUGGGAAGGCCCAUUGUGGGUGGUGCCAUCCCUGGGCUGGUAGUCUUGGGUUCUAUAAGAGAGCAAGCCGAGCAAGCCAGGAGAAGCAAGCCAGUAAGAAACAUCCCUCCAUGGCCUCUGCAUCAGCUCCUGCUUCCUGACCUGCUUGAGUUCCUGUCCUGACCUCCUUUCAUGAUGAACAGCAAUUUGGAAGUGUAAGCUGAAUAAACCCUUUCCUCCCCAACUUGCUUCUUGGUCAUGAUGUUUGUGCAGGAAUAGAAACCCUGACUAAAACAGUAGCCAACUAAGACCUAAGCGUAAUAAGUAAAUAUAAGUCUCUGUGUCAUUAUUUGGAAGCUGGCAGAUAGAGACAGUCAGGCAAUAGCUUUUGCUCAGGGUGUUUUGUCACAGUAACAGAACAAAGUUAUAAUGACAAGUUUCACACUUUUUAGAUAGGAAGGAGACCAGGACCAACAUGCAUCAGUCCAGAUGACUGAGCUGUCUGGAGGGCAGUAAUGUUAACAUCCACUGUGGGGCAGGGAGUCAGAUGUCAUAGGGGAGUACACACCUAGCAGGCAUGAGUCCCUGGCUUCAUCAGCAGCAUAGAUAGAUAGAUAGGUAGGUAGAUAAUGCAAACAAAUGAUUUUAUGAUAGCUAUUUAUUACAAGCUUUUCUAGGUGUGGG